rnacentral:rRNA from 1 species
GAUGAACGCUGGCGGCGUGCCUAAUACAUGCAAGUCGAGCGAAUGGAUUAAGAGCUUGCUCUUAUGAAGUUAGCGGCGGACGGGUGAGUAACACGUGGGUAACCUGCCCAUAAGACUGGGAUAACUCCGGGAAACCGGGGCUAAUACCGGAUAACAUUUUGAACCGCCUGUCUCGAAAUUGAAAGGCGGCUUCGGCUGUCACUUAUGGAUGGACCCGCGUAGCAUUAGCUAGUUGGUGAGGUACCGGCUCACCAAGGCAACGAUGCGUAGCCGACCUGAGAGGGUGAUCGGCCACACUGGGACUGGGACACGGCCCAGACUCCUACGGGAGGCAGCAGUAGGGAAUCUUCCGCAAUGGACGAAAGUCUGACGGAGCAACGCCGCGUGAGUGAUGAAGGCUUUCGGGUCGUAAAACUCUGUUGUUAGGGAAGAACAAGUGCUAGUUGAAUAAGCUGGCACCUUGACGGUACCUAACCAGAAAGCCACGGCUAACUACGUGCCAGCCGCCGCCGUAA